AUGAACGCUGGCGGCAUGCCUAAUACAUGCAAGUCGAACGAAGAAAUGUUGCUUGAAGGUGCUUGCACCGGAUAGUUGCUUUCUUAGUGGCGAACGGGUGAGUAACACGUAGGUAACCUGCCUAGUAGUUGGGAAUAACAAUGGGAAACCGUUGCUAAUACCGAAUAUGAAUUCGAAGGGCAUCCUUUGAAUUUGAAAGGGGCUUUCAAGCCUCGCUAUUAGAUGGACCUGCGGCGCAUUAGCUAGUUGGUGAGAUAACAGCUCACCAAGGCGAGGAUGCGUAGCCGACCUGAGAGGGUGAUCGGCCACAAUGGGACUGAGACACGGCCCAUACUCCUACGGGAGGCAGCAGUAGGGAGUUUUCGGCAAUGGGGGGAACCCUGACCGAGCAAUGCCGCGUGAGUUAUGAAGGUCUUAUGGAUCGUAAGGCUCUGUUGUAGGGGAUGAAACGUCUAGGGAGGAAAUGUCCUAGACUUGACAGUACCUUACCAGAAAGCCACGGCUAACUGCGUGCCAGCCGCUGC
rnacentral:rRNA from 1 species